GGGAAGACUGCGGUGGUUGCGGCUCCGGGCGUGGGGGCGCGGGGACACUCCGCCCCGGGAAGGGGGGAGGGAAAGGGAGAAGGGAUGGGGGCGGGGGGAAGAGGGACAGCAGAGGAAGGAAGUGGGGGGGGGGUCUCUCGCGAGAUUUCAGCGGCGCCGGUCCCUCCGGGUGAUUUCCGCCUCUCUGUAGCGCUCGCUCUUGGGAUCAGUUAGCCGUGCCGCGCCUGUGCGGCUGCUGAGUGGCCCAGUGGAGGCGCUUGGCGGCUUCCGGCCAACCCACCCCUCUCCUCCCCCGCGCCUGUGCGGCUGCUGAGUGGCCCAGUGGAGGCGCUUGGCGGCUUCCGGCCAACCCACCCCUCUCCUCCCGCGCGAGGGGGCAACCCCAGCCUCAGCGGGAACAUCGAGCCCAAAUCAAUCGGGAGUUACACUCAAAGUCUUCCCCCGUCUUUCCACUCCGUCCGAUUUCGCUCUUCCUUUUUUCCUUUCCUCCACUCUUCCCGACCGGAAACGCCGCCUCUUCCUCUUACAGUUCCGGCCCCCCAGUCCCUCGUCUCCGGUCCGGCCUCGCGCCCUAAAGUGACGCUAAGGACCCCCUCCUCUUUUCUGGGGCCCCUCCCUCUGCACGCAGGGACACAGUUGGAGAGGUUAGGGUGGAGCCCAGGGAUGGAGAGAAAAGAAACCAAUCGGAUUGGAUAAGCAGCUGCCAAGGCAACUGGAGGCUGUAGCUGUAUUGUCAUAGUAACCAAUGUGUGCAGGCUGAAUGACCCUCCCUUGACUUAGUGGAUUCCCCGAAAAGUGCCUAGGGUUUCCCCUCGGCUUCCCUUCCAUCUUAAAGGCCUCCCCCAGGUUGGGAAUCGGGUAGUUCUCCAGAGCAGUGAGGUUCAUGUUCUCCUCCCUUUCCCUUUCCCGCAGCGAUGGGGGAGAUCCCGAGGCAUUCACCACGGGCUUUUCCACCCGCCUGCGGGCGGGAACCGCCUCCAUAGUUUUCCUCUCCAUGACGGACGCGGGGAGGGCCGGGCCUACGAAAAAGAUGCCGGGCCUGAAGGCUGGUGGGCGGUGGGCUGGAGCCGACUGNNNNNNNNNNNNNNNNNNNNNNNNNNNNNNNGGACGGGCCCCCUGUGGGAGCAGGAUACCGCACGCCGGCCGGGAUCCCUCGUCUGCCGACUGGGACAUCCGACUUUCCCCAGCGGUCGGCCCCUCACAGAAAUCCCCCAGACCCCACCCCACAAUCGCACUCGGCCACGGAGCCUCCUCGGGAGUUCCCCGCGCGGCCUUCACGAGCCAUCUCCUGCCACGAGGAGGCCGGAGUGGGGGUGGGAACUCAUCUUGGAAGGCUGACAAGUGGUUUUUCCAGCACUUAGGGCAGGGGACACGGUGCGAAGUUCAGGGCCGCCAUCCCUCGGAGAGGCACCCCUCCCGCCAGUGGGAGUCCCCCUUGCUUAUCAAAAGCAGACGUCCCAUUUCCUUUCUCCUCUUCAAAUUUCCUUCUGUCGCGUGUCUGCAGUGUUUUAGAACUCGUCACUAUGUAUCUUUUGGGUUGCAGAGGAACGCAUUGGGUAAGAUAGUGUCAAGAAAAACAGAUACUUGCGUGAAGUUCCAAUGA
rnacentral:lncRNA from 1 species